rnacentral:rRNA from 1 species
UAUGGAAUAGCUGUUAGAAAUGACAGGUAAUACCGUAUACUCCCUACGGGGGAAAGAUUUAUCGCUAUUAGAUGAGCCUGCGUUGGAUUAGCUUGUUGGUAGGGUAAUGGCCUACCAAGGCUACGAUCCAUAGCUGGUCUGAGAGGAUGAUCAGCCACACUGGAACUGAGAUACGGUCCAGACUCCUACGGGAGGCAGCAGUGGGGAAUAUUGGACAAUGGGCGAAAGCCUGAUCCAGCCAUGCCGCAUGAGUGAAGAAGGCCUUAGGGUUGUAAAACUCUUUUAGUGGGGAAGAUAAUGACGGUACCCACAGAAGAAGUCCCGGCAAACUCCGUGCCAGCAGCCGCGGUAAUACGGAGGGGGCAAGCGUUGUUCGGAAUUAUUGGGCGUAAAGAGCACGUAGGCGGUUUGGUUAGUUAAGAGUUAAAUACCAAGGCUCAACCUUGGGGCUGCUUUUAAUACUGCCAGGCUAGAGAUCGAA